CCUACGGGGGGCUGCAGUGGGGAAUAUUGGACAAUGGGGGCAACCCUGAUCCAGCCAUGCCGCGUGUGUGAAGAAGGCCCUCGGGUUGUAAAGCACUUUCAGUGAGGAAGAACGCCUGGUGGUUAAUACCCAUCAGGAAAGACAUCACUCACAGAAGAAGCACCGGCUAACUCCGUGCCAGCAGCCGCGGUAAUACGGAGGGUGCGAGCGUUAAUCGGAAUUACUGGGCGUAAAGCGCGCGUAGGUGGCUUGAUAAGCCGGUUGUGAAAGCCCCGGGCUCAACCUGGGAACGGCAUCCGGAACUGUCAAGCUAGAGUGCAGGAGAGGAAGGGAGAAUUCCCGGUGUAGCGGUGAAAUGCGUAGAGAUCGGGAGGAAUACCAGUGGCGAAGGCGGCCUUCUGGACUGACACUGACACUGAGGUGCGAAAGCGUGGGUAGCAAACAGGAUUAGAUACCCGUGUAGUC
rnacentral:rRNA from 1 species